rnacentral:rRNA from 1 species
AGUGGCGAACGGGUGAGUAAUAUAUCGGAACGUACCCUAGAGUGGGGGAUAACGUAGCGAAAGUUACGCUAAUACCGCAUACGAUCUAAGGAUGAAAGUGGGGGAUCGCAAGACCUCAUGCUCGUGGAGCGGCCGAUAUCUGAUUAGCUAGUUGGUAGGGUAAAAGCCUACCAAGGCAUCGAUCAGUAGCUGGUCUGAGAGGACGACCAGCCACACUGGAACUGAGACACGGUCCAGACUCCUACGGGAGGCAGCAGUGGGGAAUUUUGGACAAUGGGCGAAAGCCUGAUCCAGCAAUGCCGCGUGAGUGAAGAAGGCCUUCGGGUUGUAAAGCUCUUUUGUCAGGGAAGAAACGGUGAAAGCUAAUAUCUUUUGCUAAUGACGGUACCUGAAGAAUAAGCACCGGCUAACUACGUGCCAGCAGCCGCGGUAAUACGUAGGGUGCAAGCGUUAAUCGGAAUUACUGGGCGUAAAGCGUGCGCAGGCGGUUUUGUAGGUCUGAUGUGAAAUCCUCGGGCUCAACCUGGGAAUUGCAUUGGAGACUGCAAGGCUAGAAUCUGGCAGAGGGGGGUAGAAUUCCACGUGUAGCAGUGAAAUGCGUAGAUAUGUGGAGGAACACCGAUGGCGAAGGCAGCCCCCUGGGUCAAGAUUGACGCUCAUGCACGAAAGCGUGGGGAGCAAACAGGAUUAGAUACCCUGGUAGUCCACGCCCUAAACGAUGUCUACUAGUUGU